AUUAUCGGCGCUAAUGAAUAAUGAUUACGCGUAGGUACGAUUAAUUGUUGUUUCGCAGUCACACCGGAGUUGGUACGCAUUGUAUAGAUAUACGUUUCUUGACAAGUACGAGUUUAUGUAGUGCGUUUCGACUUUGCCGACCGCGCGAAAUUCCGUUAAGAUUUCCGAAUCUCCGUCGUUCUUCCACGCGGUAAUGCCGUUUUACGGUACUCGUAUGGUAAUAAUAAUAUAAUGUGUUUCACUACGGCACUGCCUAUACAUCACGUCCGGCCGCGGCGCCCCGCGCUGUAAAAGUUAUGCCGGAAAACCGCACUGAAAACUCUCGCGCCGU